UGAAUACAAUGGUCCAGUCAAGGGUGAGGAUAUACCAUUGCAACUCAGAUCUGCUCUUUACCUUUUAGCGAACUCUAGCACAGGACAAACAAACAGUUGGUCUCCCAUCAGACUUCCCAGCGAGUCACGAUUCUUCAUUCUGUUAUUCUCAU